CACUUUCUUCAAGUCUCUAAUUUUGCAUAUGAGAAACACUAAGACUCAGCAGAUAAGGAUGGAGGCGACUCAACAUCACACUGAGACAGAUAUGAGCCCUGCAUUUCUGAAUGCCUUGAAAGAAAAACCAGCAAGUUGGGAGGGCCGUGUCUCCUUAUCAUCUUCCAGGAAUUCAAAACCGUGAUUUCCAGUUUCCAAAUGCAACUCAAGCUCCAUCACCCUGUACAUCUUGCACGGUUUCUCCAGCAUAUCCUGAUCGCCACCUCCAGACCCUUCUGAUAGAUUCAUUACCUGAAUCUAUUUGCUAUUUCUUUAUAUGAAUGCAAGAAUGGACUAACACACUGACCAUGGAACAUAGACAGAUGUGAGAAGAUCCAGAAAAGAUGCAGCUCAAUUAAUUAGAAAGGCCUCUGGAAUGGGCACAAGCCAGAUCCUGAACUCCUGCUCUCCCUUGGCUCAACCUCAUCACAGCCAGAAAGGAUGAGAGCUCUUUAAUGAAGUGCAUACAUGUCAGUUUCCCAGGACACAAACCAAAGUAAAGAAGAAUGGAGCAUGCUCCUAUAAAGGAAAAUAAAAGGAGAUCCAUAAAGCAAAUCCAACUCAUGGACACUUACUAAACAUGCACUGUGUUCAUGUAAUGGCUCCAAGAAUCUUAGUGGACAUGGACGGAAGUACACACCUGGAGUGGACCUACAGAAGCUCAGAGUCAAAUGGCAGAAAGAUGAUAUGGGCAUUGAAUACAUUAAAUGAAAAUAAAAGUAAUAAAUCACAAGAGAAGAGAGUAACUGAGGGUGUCACUGGGCAGUACAUUAGCAAUUAAUUACCAGACACCUAUGCAGUUAAAAUGUACUGCUGGCCUUCAAAGGUGAAGGAAUCCAUGGCCUGGAAUGACCAUAAAAAAUUUAUUUUAACAAAAAGACAUGACUGUAGCCUUUUAGGGUAAAGAGAUUUUAACAUUUGAAGAGCAGAGAGACAGGUACAGCAUUGCAGGCUAGGAAAUGUGGGAGUUCAAAAUGGCAGACCAGGAGGAAGGCAAGUUGUGUUUGGGAAAAUUGACUUUAUGGUUAUUAGAAAGACCAUGUAAGCAAGCAGAGAUCAAUUGUGCUAGAAAUGUUUUUCAAAUUGAGCAUCUGGUGUGUGUUAGGCACUGCUCUCGGCACUGGGGAUACAGCUGUGAACAUGAUCAACAAGGACCCUGCAAUCAUGGAGAUUAAAUUAUAGUGAGGCAAACAGAAUAUAAAUAAAUAUACACAUUAGGUGAAAGCCAGACAGCUUCGGGUCUUAUGGAGAGAGUUACUGUUGGAGCAUGUACUAGAGAAUGACUAAAUGGUAACUAUAUGGGAUGGUCGAAGAUGACCUCAAUGAGGAAUCUCUACACUUAGAUAAGACCCAAAUAGCAAGAAUGGUUCUUGUUCUGUAUUAUAAUCAAGAGGAAGAGGAUUUCAGGCAGAGGGAAAAAUGGGAUCCAUGGGCUAAAACAGGUACUUGAAUGAUGUUUUUGAGGAAAUAAAUGAAGAUCAGGGUGGCUAGAGCAUUGUGAUGAAGGUUUACACCAGGUGCUGGCUGGUUUUUAUUCCUAGUGAGAGACAAUUGUUGCAUUUUCAGGGAUUUUGUAAGGCAAUUCAUAUAACGUUGGUAGCUUAUAAUUGACUAUGGUAGGAAUAUUCAUACCUGAGAAAUCGGCAAACACUGUGAAUCAGGACUCCCUCUUUGUCCCCAACCCUCAACUCCCAUUCAGAGAGCCUGUUUUUGAGUAUUUUCUUGCAUACCACAGAGUGAGUAUAAGAAGCAGCUGGAAUAGUAACUAGGAACCAAUCAUCUUAGGCUUUAUAAGGCAGAGAAAGGAAUUUUAAUUUUAGGUGUGUUGGGAAGCCAUUAGUGGGUCUUAUGUAGGAAAUGAAUAUGGUCUGAUUUACAUAUGUAAAGGAUAAUUCUGAGUAUGUUAUGGAACACUUUGUAAAUAGGUAAAAAGAGAAAUAGGAAAAUCAGCUAUUGCAUUAGACUCAGUUAGAAGUGGCAGUGGUUUUGCUAGGGGUUAUAUAAAAGGAAGAAAACUUAAUAAUGUUAGGCCUGACUAUAGGUAGAAUCUAUAGUUUUUACUCAUGAAUUGGAUGUAAGAAUUGAGGAGAAACGAAGAACCAAGUAAAAAUUUUGAGCUUUGGCUUGGGAAACUAGGUAUAUGGUAACGCCAAAAAGAGAGAUGUAGAGAAUUGAUGUAGGAGCAAAGCUGGGCUGGGAAAUUGAGAAAAUUAUACCUGCCUUGUUAAAGUUGAAACACCCACAUGACACUCACCUGGAAGGAUAUUCACACUUGGAUUGUUGGGGAAUAAUAAGAACUAGAGAUACAGUUUGAGGGUCACUGGCAUAGAGAUAGUAAUUAAAACCAGGAUGUCAGUUAUAUCACCUAGGGAUAAUGCAAAGAGAGAGAAAAGCAGGAGAUAAGACAGAUCGAGCAGUGGGAGAAGCCGGCAUUGAAGAAUGAAGAGGAAAACCAGGCGUGUCUAGUGCCAUGAUGCCAAGAGAAAAACCCAGCUCCGAGAAGACAGGAGUUUGUUUGCUAAUGUUAUUGAGGGAUAAAGUAAAAUACGAAGAGAGAAGUAACUUGGACUGGCGGCAAAGCGAUCACCAGUGCUCCUUCUAACUGUGGUGUCGAUAAAGUAAUGUGGACUGGAUGAAGGAGCCUCGUUGGAAUAAACUCAUAUAGGAAUGAUGAUACCGUGUUUACCUACUAAUGGGAAUGACCCUAUUGAAGAGGGAACAUCACGUAUGUUGGGGAGCGGAAAAGUCAAAGUCCUCGAAAAGGACCCACCUCCCAGCAUUAUGCUGGAGAUUGCAUUUCAACACAUGAAUUUUGGGGAGACGCAAACAUUCAGAUCGUAACAAGGGCUAAAUGACUUUUGGAAACUCAGCUGUAGUGCAGGAAGCACUUUGGAAACCAAUGGCUGAAAAGUUUGCUUUCUGUGAGAAGUGUAAAUCAAAGUCAUGUUUCUGUUUCCAGCAGUAGAGGAAAGAGAGAUAAACCUGAUGGACACAAGCAGGUAAAAUCUGCCCAAAAUGACUCUGGGGCUUGUUGAAAAAUUAACGCCUAUGAGAUCUGUCUCAUUCGAGGGCAAGGCAUGGCGGAUCACCUUUCCACAUCAGUGCCUGGGUCUGAUCUGCACCAUCUUUAUACGCUCAGCAGAUUAACUGGAGCCAUCUGAAGGAACCCUAUAACCAGGAGGCCGCUGUCCUCAGGGUUGAGCACCAUCUAUGGUCAUAUCAGGGAAACUGUAUAUUUCCCAGCCAGGAAUAAACAUUCUUGCUUUCAAGUCUCCCACCCUGAUUGCCUCUGUGUUCUCUGGAAAUACAGAUAAAAAUAGACAGGUCACACCACAACUAGCUAUGGUUUGACU